UAAAGGCUAAGCAAAGCAAUGGAGAGCAAGCCUGUAAGCGGUGUCCCUCCAUGGCUUCUGCCUCAGUUCCUGCCUCUGGAAUCCUGUCUUGAGUUCCUGCUCUGACUUCCUUCGAUGGUCAUUUGUGAUCUGGAUAUGAAAGCCAAACGACACCCCUCCCCCACAAGUCACUGCCAGCCAUGGUAUUUAUCCUGAUGCCGCACUAGGACAUCUUAAGAGUGGAGAUUUUUGCUUCUGCCUGCGAUGGCCAUGCUUGACGUUGAAAAGGGUUGUUUCCCGGUGAGUUCCCAGGUGAGGUCAUGGAGGAGAAAGCAAGGCUUUUGGAUUUAGAAUGAUCUCAGCACUGCUAGGUGUGACUGAGAAGACAAGAAAUGGCAACCAUGAUAAAGGAGAAAGGAAUGGGAGGGAGAGAGAGAGGGAGGGGGGAUGCUAAAGUCCAAAUACCCGUUUAGAAAUGUUAAAUGGUGCUAACAGAGGAAAUGAGAUGAUCAUCGUCGCUGUCGUCGUCAUCAUCACCAUCAUCGUCUUUGGUGUCUCCGUUGUCAUCGUCAUCAUCAUCCAAGGAAACUGGAACAACGCAGAGACCCACGGCUGGACAAUGUGCAGAGGAUGGAAGGCUCAGCCCUAAUCGGGAUGCAAGGCCCAGGGAUCUAAGUGGAGGAGGAGGAGGAGCCAGAGCAGAAAUAAGUUCACUGAAACGGUGUUUGCCAGACACAACAGGGAAGAUGCGCAUACAAACUUGCGGAGGCUGACAGUGUUCACACGACCUAACCAGGUUGUCAAAGCCAGACAAACUCCAGCAUGAAGGAGGGAAGAGAAAGAGGCAUGAAGUCUUGUCCCUGGCCAAGAAGCUCUUUGAAACUGAUAGCCGAUGGGAGAAGGAAAAGGAGUUGUUUUCCAUGGAGCUGGGCGUACUGACCACAUUCCAGGGCAGACCACAUGCUCAGGAGU
rnacentral:lncRNA from 1 species